AUUGAACGCUGGCGGCAGGCCUAACACAUGCAAGUCGAACGGUAACAGAAAGCAGCUUGCUGCUUUGCUGACGAGUGGCGGACGGGUGAGUAAUGUCUGGGAAACUGCCUGAUGGAGGGGGAUAACUACUGGAAACGGUAGCUAAUACCGCAUAACGUCGCAAGACCAAAGAGGGGGACCUUCGGGCCUCUUGCCAUCGGCGGGGCCCAGAUGGGAGUAGCUAGUAGGUGGGGUAAAGGCUCACCUAGGCGAAGAUCCCUAGCUGGUCUGAGAGGAUGACCAGCCACACUGGAACUGAGACACGGUCCAGACUCCUACGGGAGGCAGCAGUGGGGAAUAUUGCACAAUGGGCGCAAGCCUGAUGCAGCCAUGCCGCGUGUAUGAAGAAGGCCUUCGGGUUGUAAAGUACUUUCAGCGGGGAGGAAGGGAGUAAAGUUAAUACCUUUGCUCAUUGACGUUACCCGCAGAAGAAGCACCGGCUAACUCCGUGCCAGCCGCCGCCGUAA
rnacentral:rRNA from 1 species